UAACCUGCCCAAGAGAUCGGGAUAACACCUGGAAACAGAUGCUAAUACCGGAUAACAACAGCUGAUGCCUAUCAACUGUUUAAAAGAUGGUUCUGCUAUCACUCUUGGAUGGACCUGCGGCGCAUUAGCUAGUUGGUAGGGUAACGGCCUACCAAGGCGAUGAUGCAUAGCCGAGUUGAGAGACUGAUCGGCCACAUUGGGACUGAGACACGGCCCAAACUCCUACGGGAGGCAGCAGUA
rnacentral:rRNA from 1 species